UAGGGAAUCUUGGACAAUGGGCGAAAGCCUGAUCCAGCCAUGCCGCGUGAGUGAUGAAGGCCUUAGGGUUGUAAAGCUCUUUCGCCAGGGAAGAUAAUGACGGUACCUGGAUAAGAAGCCCCGGCUAACUUCGUGCCAGCAGCCGCGGUAAUACGAAGGGGGCUAGCGUUGUUCGGAAUUACUGGGCGUAAAGCGCACGUAGGCGGCUUUCCAAGUUGGAGGUGAAAUCCCCGGGCUUAACCCGGGAACUGCCUCCAAAACUGAAAGGCUAGAGUCCGAGAGAGGUGAGUGGAAUUUCCAGUGUAGAGGUGAAAUUCGUAGAUAUUGGAAAGAACACCAGUGGCGAAGGCGGCUCACCGGCUCGGUACUGACGCUGAGGUGCGACAGCGUGGGGAGCAAACA
rnacentral:rRNA from 1 species